rnacentral:rRNA from 1 species
UACAGAGGGUGCGAGCGUUAAUCGGAAUUACUGGGCGUAAAGCGCGCGUAGGCGGCUUUGCAAGUCGGGUGUGAAAUCCCCAGGCUCAACCUGGGAACUGCAUUCGAGACUGCGUAGCUAGGGUGCGGAAGAGGGAAGCGGAAUUUCCGGUGUAGCGGUGAAAUGCGUAGAUAUCGGAAGGAACACCAGUGGCGAAAGCGGCUUCCUGGUCCAGCACCGACGUUCAGGCACGAAAGCGUGGGGAGCAAACAGG